AUUGAACGCUGGCGGCAUGCCUUACACAUGCAAGUCGAACGGCAGCGCGGGAGCAAUCCUGGCGGCGAGUGGCGAACGGGUGAGUAAUACAUCGGAACGUGCCCAAUCGUGGGGGAUAACGCAGCGAAAGCUGUGCUAAUACGGCAUAGGAUCUACGGAUGAAAGCAGGGGAUGGCAAGACAUUGCGCGAAGGGAGCGGCCGAUGGCAGAUUAGGUAGUUGGUGAGGUAAAGGCUCACCAAGCCUUCGAUCUGUAGCUGGUCUGAGAGGACGACCAGCCACACUGGGACUGAGACACGGCCCAGACUCCUACGGGAGGCAGCAGUGGGGAAUUUUGGACAAUGGGCGAAAGCCUGAUCCAGCCAUGCCGCGUGCAGGAUGAAAGCCUUCGGGUUGUAAACUGCUUUUGUACGGAACGAAACGGUCUUUUCUAAUAAAGAAGGCUAAUGACGGUACCGUAAGAAUAAGCACCGGCUAACUACGUG
rnacentral:rRNA from 1 species